GGAGGAAAGCAGGGGAUCGCAAGACCUUGCGCUCAUUGAGCGGCCGAUGCCUGAUUAGCUAGUUGGUGAGGUAAAGGCUUACCAAGGCGACGAUCAGUAGCUGGUCUGAGAGGACGACCAGCCACACUGGGACUGAGACACGGCCCAGACUCCUACGGGAGGCAGCAGUGGGGAAUUUUGGACAAUGGGGGAAACCCUGAUCCAGCCAUGCCGCGUGAGUGAAGAAGGCCUUCGGGUUGUAAAGCUCUUUCAGCCGGAACGAAACAGUCACGGAUAAUACCCGUGACUACUGACGGUACCGGAAGAAGAAGCACCGGCUAACUACGUGCCAGCAGCCGCGGGAAUACGUAGGGUGCGAGCGUUAAUCGGAAUUACUGGGCGUAAAGCGUGCGCAGGCGGUUUUGUAAG
rnacentral:rRNA from 1 species